ACUAAGGCUAUGAUAGAGAGGAGUAGCUAUAAUAUGAGUUCAAGAGAGCUGAUGGUUGGUGAGAAUCAGCAUUCAUUUAUAGUGAAGGCGCUCUUGAGCCUAAUGCGAUAAGAGGGCGGCAUUAGCUGACCAAUAAGGGUGGAACCGCGGAAGUAUACCUUUCGUCCCUUAC
rnacentral:ncRNA from 1 species